rnacentral:lncRNA from 1 species
UUGUCUGCCUUCCAGAUUAACCUCAACCCACUCAAGGUCCACUCCACUUCAUUAAGGUCCAUGAGUGAUUUGCUUCUGUAUUUGCUUUUGCACCCUGUGGUGGAUUUAAGGGAAAAAUAGAAACUCAAGUGAAUUGUCCCGCUUCUAUUGGUUAUUCACUCAGGUUGAAUCAGGCAUCAUUUCAUGUACCUCUAAGUGUCAAUGUGUGUGAGGUGACCUGGAAAAACCAUGGCCUCAUAGAUAAUUACUCUUCUGUACAGUUCUAAGUUACAAUAGCAGUCUUGGUGUUCUUGUACCAUAUUGCUGCCCUAUGUUGGUUAAACAAACCUUUACAGGGAUAGUUAUAAACUCCCCAAGACUGGCAUUACUAUUACUUUUGUUGCUACUUUUCAGUGGUUGGCUAAAGCUCUCACAGAUAUUAAAAUAACUACCAGGCACAAUAUUGCUAAGGAACUUGAGCCUUGUAACUCAGGAAUGUCAUGUCUAUUUGUCAUUGUGACUAGUAUUGGAUUCCUAAAAGUAUCUGUGGUCUUUGCCUUUUGGAUUAUGAUACUUUGGGGAUAAAAUGCUUGGUUUGUGUACAAAGAGACCUGCUUACAUAGUCCAUCAAAUAUGCCAACUUCCCACAGCCAAGAAGGUGUCCCACUCACUUCUGGGAUAUAA